rnacentral:rRNA from 1 species
GGAAUCUUGGACAAUGGGCGAAAGCCUGAUCCAGCCAUGCCGCGUGAAUGAUGAAGGUCUUAGGAUUGUAAAAUUCUUUCACCGGGGAAGAUAAUGACGGUACCCGGAGAAGAAGCCCCGGCUAACUUCGUGCCAGCAGCCGCGGUAAUACGAAGGGGGCUAGCGUUGCUCGGAUUUACUGGGCGUAAAGGGUGCGUAGGCGGAUUGGUAAGUUGGAGGUGAAAGCCCAGGGCUCAACCCUGGAAUUGCCUUCAAAACUGCUAGUCUUGAGUUUGGGAGAGGUAAGUGGAAUUCCGAGUGUAGAGGUGAAAUUCGUAGAUAUUCGGAAGAACACCAGUGGCGAAGGCGACUUACUGGACCAAUACUGACGCUGAGGCACGAAAGCGUGGGGAGCAAACAGGAUUAGAUACCCUGGUAGUCCACGCUGUAAACGAUGAGAGCUAGUUAUCAGGCAGCAUGCUGUUUGGUGACGCAGCUAACGCAUUAAGCUCUCCGCCUGGGGAGUACGGUCGCAAGAUUAAAACUCAAAUGAAUUGACGG